UGUGGGAGGGGGCUUGCCCCCGAUGCGGUAUGUCAGCUGAACCAUUUUUCACUGAUACACCGCCAUCGGGAGCAAGCCCCCUCCCACA
rnacentral:misc_RNA from 1 species